CAGUGGCUUAGCUUCCUCUAGACCAGAGGACAUUCUGUGCUCCCAAAACAGAAUGCUACACAUGGGAACAAGGGAAAGGGAGGCUUUGAGAGGUCAGCCAGCAAGGCCCCUGCUUCAAGCCUAAAACCAACAUAAUUAGGUGAAGAUUGAGCAGGAUAAGGCUUUGCAAGGAACAUCCCUGCCAUGUCAAGGUGAUUCCAAGCAUUGCAAAUUCUCCCCUGAGGCGCAGAGCCCAGAAGAAAUCAGCGUGGAAUGAAAAGAGUCAAGGAUGGAGCCCCCACAGGACUUAGCAAGAAUGCCAAGUCGUCUUCCAGAGGCUGCUUCAUUUGAGAGCCUUCUCUGAUUCAUCCAGGCAAAUUAACAGAUAAUA
rnacentral:lncRNA from 1 species